CCUACGGGUGGCAGCAGUGGGGAAUAUUGCACAAUGGGCGAAAGCCUGACGCAGCGACGCCGCGUGAGGGAUGAAGGUCUUCGGAUCGUAAACCUCUGUCAGCAGGGAAGAACGGUCAAUGUGCUAAUCAGCAGUGAAUUGACGGUACCUACAAAGGAAGCACCGGCUAACUCCGUGCCAGCAGCCGAGGUAAUACGGGGGGUGCAAGCGUUAUCCGGAGUUAUUGGGGUUAAAGGGUGCGUUGGCUGUGAGGUAAGGCAGCGUGGGAAUGCCCCCGCUCAACGGGGUGAAGUGCCAUUGAUACUGCCUUGCGGGAGUGCGGAUGAGGUGAGAGGAAUGUGUGGUGUAGCGGUGAAAUGCAUAGAUAUCACACAGAACACCGAUUGCGAAGGCAUCUCACGAAUCCGCGAUUGACGCUGAUGCACGAAAGCGUGGGUAUCAAACAGGAUUAGAUACCCCAGUAGUC
rnacentral:rRNA from 1 species